GGUCCUAUGGUGUAGAUGGACAACAUAUCCGCCUGUCACGUGGAUGCCUCGGGUUCGAUUCCCGAUAGGACCGCCA
rnacentral:tRNA from 1 species